rnacentral:rRNA from 1 species
GAUGAACGCUGGCGGCGUGCCUAAUACAUGCAAGUCGAGCGAACAGACAAGGAGCUUGCUCCUUUGACGUUAGCGGCGGACGGGUGAGUAACACGUGGGUAACCUACCUAUAAGACUGGGAUAACUUCGGGAAACCGGAGCUAAUACCGGAUAAUAUUUCGAACCGCAUGGUUCGAUAGUGAAAGAUGGUUUUGCUAUCACUUAUAGAUGGACCCGCGCCGUAUUAGCUAGUUGGUAAGGUAACGGCUUACCAAGGCGACGAUACGUAGCCGACCUGAGAGGGUGAUUGGCCACACUGGAACUGAGACACGGUCCAGACUCCUACGGGAGGCAGCAGUAGGGAAUCUUCCGCAAUGGGCGAAAGCCUGACGGAGCAACGCCGCGUGAGUGACGAAGGUCUUCGGAUCGUAAAACUCUGUUAUUAGGGAAGAACAUACGUGUAAGUAACUAUGCACGUCUUGACGGUACCUAAUCAGAAAGCCACGGCUAACUACGUGCCAGCAGCCGCGGUAAUACGUAGGUGGCAAGCGUUAUCCGGAAUUAUUGGGCGUAAAGCGCGCGUAGGCGGUUUUUUAAGUCUGAUGUGAAAGCCCACGGCUCAACCGUGGAGGGUCAUUGGAAACUGGAAAACUUGAGUGCAGAAGAGGAAAGUGGAAUUCCAUGUGUAGCGGUGAAAUGCGCAGAGAUAUGGAGGAACACCAGUGGCGAAGGCGACUUUCUGGUCUGUAACUGACGCUGAUGUGCGAAAGCGUGGGGAUCAAACAGGAUUAGAUACCCUGGUAGUCCACGCCGUAAACGAUGAGUGCUAAGUGUUAGGGGGUUUCCGCCCCUUAGUGCUGCAGCUAACGCAUUAAGCACUCCGCCUGGGGAGUACGACCGCAAGGUUGAAACUCAAAGGAAUUGACGGGGACCCGCACAAGCGGUGGAGCAUGUGGUUUAAUUCGAAGCAACGCGAAGAACCUUACCAAAUCUUGACAUCCUUUGACAACUCUAGAGAUAGAGCUUUCCCCUUCGGGGGACAAAGUGACAGGUGGUGCAUGGUUGUCGUCAGCUCGUGUCGUGAGAUGUUGGGUUAAGUCCCGCAACGAGCGCAACCCUUAAGCUUAGUUGCCAUCAUUAAGUUGGGCACUCUAAGUUGACUGCCGGUGACAAACCGGAGGAAGGUGGGGAUGACGUCAAAUCAUCAUGCCCCUUAUGAUUUGGGCUACACACGUGCUACAAUGGACAAUACAAAGGGCAGCGAAACCGCGAGGUCAAGCAAAUCCCAUAAAGUUGUUCUCAGUUCGGAUUGUAGUCUGCAACUCGACUACAUGAAGCUGGAAUCGCUAGUAAUCGUAGAUCAGCAUGCUACGGUGAAUACGUUCCCGGGUCU